rnacentral:rRNA from 1 species
CUGGCUAAAGAGGAGGAAGGAAUGGGCAACGGUAGGUCAGCAUGCCCCGAAUUAUCUGGGCGUACACGCGGGCUACAAUGGGUGGGACAAUGGGUAUCGACACCGAAAGGUGAAAGGCAAUCUCCUAAACCCAUCCGUAGUUCGGAUUGUGGGCUGCAACUCGCCCACAUGAAGCUGGAAUCUGUAGUAAUCGUGUCUCAAAAUGGCACGGUGAAUAUGUCCCUGCUCCUU